AAAAACUGGACCGCUGGACUCAACGUCAAUCAAAACCAGGACGACGACGAACGCGACGGACACCUUUCUAAAAAGAGACAGAAGAUACCGAGAUAUAACGUUAUAACACUAACGUUACCGUUUAUCAUCUUUUCAAAUCACUAAUAGUGAAAAGUGCUGGGCUUUAUAGCUAGCUGCAUCAUUGAAACGUAAGCGUCCAUAUUCGGAUACACACAGACUGUGUGACAAACGGAGGAAUAAAACCAGGAUAAAUAUCGGCCAGGCGUUUACGAGAUGGAGAGAGCUGCGCGAAAAUCUUGGACUUGACAGAGACUCUGCUCUCGCGAGUGUAUUGAUAGACAGGUUAUGACAGACUUCACAGGUUGAUGCAGGAGAAGAUGAACGAAGCAUGAGGGAACAUCUCCGAGCAAUAAAGGAGGAAACAGAGAUGCUUAGACCAAACGUAGAGCUUAAAGAAAGUAGGGCACUGAUGAAAAUCUACCAGAGAAAUUUUGUGUCUAACCACAGCAGGGAGGAGAUUAUCUCUGAGUUUCCAUGUUUCAGACUGGCCAAAAUGCUCCUUUGGGAUAUGAGAGACCGUACCAACGUUGAUGUGGACCAACAGAUUCUCUCUAAGCUCUCAUUAAUGGCACCUAAAGUCCUUCAAGUUUCACAGAGUCCCCUGAUGGAGAAGUUCAGGACUACAGUUGGAAGCAGUUAUUCUGUUCUUGCCAGUUUGAGGAGGUCCCGGGGCUGCUGUUUGAAGUUGAGGGUCAUGCUCAGACCUGCCCUCCUGACACACCAACACCUAAAAUGGUGCUCAAAGGCUGCAGGGAGGGUCAUCCCAUGCAAUACGAUCACAUCUCGAUGACACUGGGCCUUAUCCUUUGUAUAUAUUUUCUGUUUGGCAUCCAAUAUCCUAAAGGACUGAAAAAGACACUGACCUUCCUGGAGUGCGUUGUUUUAAAAAUGAAGGAUGCAGCACCGACUUCCUGUCACAAUUAAAAGAGUGUAAAAUUCAAUCUGUGCAUAGAGACACACACUCUCUCUCUCUCUCUCUCUCUCUCUUUUUCUCUUUCUGGGGCCUAUUCCAAUUUAUAUAUUUUUUCCUUCUAUUUUUUUCUAACUCCUAACGCCAGUGUUGUUAAUGUUAUAAAGCACUGAUUAUAUUUGAAACUAAAAGAAAUGAAUUAAACUCUUUUAAAAGUGUAAUGUAUUUUGUUUGUCAGUAAGCUUUUAGUACGAGAUUUUGAAUCUUUCAAU